GGGUUGUGAGGUUAAGCGACUAAGCGUACACGGUGGAUGCCCUGGCAGUCAGAGGCGAUGAAGGACGUGCUAAUCUGCGAUAAGCGUCGGUAAGGUGAUAUGAACCGUUAUAACCGGCGAUUUCCGAAUGGGGAAACCCAGUGUGUUUCGACACACUAUCAUUAACUGAAUCCAUAGGUUAAUGAGGCGAACCGGGGGAACUGAAACAUCUAAGUACCCCGAGGAAAAGAAAUCAACCGAGAUUCCCCCAGUAGCGGCGAGCGAACGGGGAGCAGCCCAGAGCCUGAAUCAGUGUGUGUGUUAGUGGAAGCGUCUGGAAAGGCGCGCGAUACAGGGUGACAGCCCCGUACACAAAAAUGCACAUAUUGUGAGCUCGAUGAGUAGGGCGGGACACGUGGUAUCCUGUCUGAAUAUGGGGGGACCAUCCUCCAAGGCUAAAUACUCCUGACUGACCGAUAGUGAACCAGUACCGUGAGGGAAAGGCGAAAAGAACCCCGGCGAGGGGAGUGAAAAAGAACCUGAAACCGUGUACGUACAAGCAGUGGGAGCACGCUUAGGCGUGUGACUGCGUACCUUUUGUAUAAUGGGUCAGCGACUUAUAUUCUGUAGCAAGGUUAACCGAAUAGGGGAGCCGAAGGGAAACCGAGUCUUAACUGGGCGUUAAGUUGCAGGGUAUAGACCCGAAACCCGGUGAUCUAGCCAUGGGCAGGUUGAAGGUUGGGUAACACUAACUGGAGGACCGAACCGACUAAUGUUGAAAAAUUAGCGGAUGACUUGUGGCUGGGGGUGAAAGGCCAAUCAAACCGGGAGAUAGCUGGUUCUCCCCGAAAGCUAUUUAGGUAGCGCCUCGUGAAUUCAUCUCCGGGGGUAGAGCACUGUUUCGGCAAGGGGGUCAUCCCGACUUACCAACCCGAUGCAAACUGCGAAUACCGGAGAAUGUUAUCACGGGAGACACACGGCGGGUGCUAACGUCCGUCGUGAAGAGGGAAACAACCCAGACCGCCAGCUAAGGUCCCAAAGUCAUGGUUAAGUGGGAAACGAUGUGGGAAGGCCCAGACAGCCAGGAUGUUGGCUUAGAAGCAGCCAUCAUUUAAAGAAAGCGUAAUAGCUCACUGGUCGAGUCGGCCUGCGCGGAAGAUGUAACGGGGCUAAACCAUGCACCGAAGCUGCGGCAGCGACACUGUGUGUUGUUGGGUAGGGGAGCGUUCUGUAAGCCUGUGAAGGUGUGCUGUGAGGCAUGCUGGAGGUAUCAGAAGUGCGAAUGCUGACAUAAGUAACGAUAAAGCGGGUGAAAAGCCCGCUCGCCGGAAGACCAAGGGUUCCUGUCCAACGUUAAUCGGGGCAGGGUGAGUCGACCCCUAAGGCGAGGCCGAAAGGCGUAGUCGAUGGGAAACAGGUUAAUAUUCCUGUACUUGGUGUUACUGCGAAGGGGGGACGGAGAAGGCUAUGUUGGCCGGGCGACGGUUGUCCCGGUUUAAGCGUGUAGGCUGGUUUUCCAGGCAAAUCCGGAAAAUCAAGGCUGAGGCGUGAUGACGAGGCACUACGGUGCUGAAGCAACAAAUGCCCUGCUUCCAGGAAAAGCCUCUAAGCAUCAGGUAACAUCAAAUCGUACCCCAAACCGACACAGGUGGUCAGGUAGAGAAUACCAAGGCGCUUGAGAGAACUCGGGUGAAGGAACUAGGCAAAAUGGUGCCGUAACUUCGGGAGAAGGCACGCUGAUAUGUAGGUGAAGUCCCUUGCGGAUGGAGCUGAAAUCAGUCGAAGAUACCAGCUGGCUGCAACUGUUUAUUAAAAACACAGCACUGUGCAAACACGAAAGUGGACGUAUACGGUGUGACGCCUGCCCGGUGCCGGAAGGUUAAUUGAUGGGGUCAGCGCAAGCGAAGCUCUUGAUCGAAGCCCCGGUAAACGGCGGCCGUAACUAUAACGGUCCUAAGGUAGCGAAAUUCCUUGUCGGGUAAGUUCCGACCUGCACGAAUGGCGUAAUGAUGGCCAGGCUGUCUCCACCCGAGACUCAGUGAAAUUGAACUCGCUGUGAAGAUGCAGUGUACCCGCGGCAAGACGGAAAGACCCCGUGAACCUUUACUAUAGCUUGACACUGAACAUUGAGCCUUGAUGUGUAGGAUAGGUGGGAGGCUUAGAAGUGUGGACGCCAGUCUGCAUGGAGCCGACCUUGAAAUACCACCCUUUAAUGUUUGAUGUUCUAACGUUGACCCGUAAUCCGGGUUGCGGACAGUGUCUGGUGGGUAGUUUGACUGGGGCGGUCUCCUCCUAAAGAGUAACGGAGGAGCACGAAGGUUGGCUAAUCCUGGUCGGACAUCAGGAGGUUAGUGCAAUGGCAUAAGCCAGCUUGACUGCGAGCGUGACGGCGCGAGCAGGUGCGAAAGCAGGUCAUAGUGAUCCGGUGGUUCUGAAUGGAAGGGCCAUCGCUCAACGGAUAAAAGGUACUCCGGGGAUAACAGGCUGAUACCGCCCAAGAGUUCAUAUCGACGGCGGUGUUUGGCACCUCGAUGUCGGCUCAUCACAUCCUGGGGCUGAAGUAGGUCCCAAGGGUAUGGCUGUUCGCCAUUUAAAGUGGUACGCGAGCUGGGUUUAGAACGUCGUGAGACAGUUCGGUCCCUAUCUGCCGUGGGCGCUGGAGAACUGAGGGGGGCUGCUCCUAGUACGAGAGGACCGGAGUGGACGCAUCACUGGUGUUCGGGUUGUCAUGCCAAUGGCACUGCCCGGUAGCUAAAUGCGGAAGAGAUAAGUGCUGAAAGCAUCUAAGCACGAAACUUGCCCCGAGAUGAGUUCUCCCUGACCCUUUAAGGGUCCUGAAGGAACGUUGAAGACGACGACGUUGAUAGGCCGGGUGUGUAAGCGCAGCGAUGCGUUGAGCUAACCGGUACUAAUGAACCGUGAGGCUUAACCUUACAACGCCGAAG
rnacentral:rRNA from 1 species